GCCUAGUUAGCUUAGUUGGUAGUGCGUCUGCCUUGUAAGCGCUAGGUCGCGGGUUCGAUUCCCGCCCGACGCG
rfam:Asian citrus Psyllid, Diaphorina citri - Florida Strain, whole genome shotgun sequence.